rnacentral:rRNA from 1 species
CCUACGGGAGGCAGCAGUGAGGAAUAUUGGUCAAUGGGCGAGAGCCUGAACCAGCCAAGUCGCGUGAGGGAGUACUGCCCUAUGGGUUGUAAACCUCUUUUGUCGGGGAGCAAAAGCCGGACGUGUCCGGCUGUGAGAGUACCCGAAGAAAAAGCAUCGGCUACCUCCGUGCCAGCAGCCGCGGUAAUACGGAGGAUGCGAGCGUUAUCCGGAUUUAUUGGGUUUAAAGGGUGCGCAGGCGGAUUUUUAAGUCAGCGGUAAAAUCGUGGGGCUCAACCCCAUCCAGCCGUUGAAACUGGGGAUCUAGAGUGUGCGAGAGGUAUGCGGAAGGCGUGGUGUAGCGGUGAAAUGCAUAGAGAUCACGCAGAACCCCGAUUGCGAAGGCAGCAUACCGGUGCACAACUGACGCUCAGGCACGAAAGCGUGGGUAUCGAACAGGAUUAGAUACCCUAGUAGUC